rnacentral:tRNA from 1 species
AAAGGGAGACCUAAUUCCAGUAGGAGACGAAAAAAAAGUAGUCCCUACCAAGAAUCAAUCCCAAAAGGUCGGAGCGAGGCAAAAUUGGCUUUCAAACUAGGUUCUGGGUUCACACAAGACCUGAAUCAGGAACCAGGGCUAUUAGCUCAGGUGGUUAGAGCGCACCCCUGAUAAGGGUGAGGUCCCUGGUUCGAGUCCAGGAUGGCCCACCUGCACAGGUGGAAGAAAGAAAAGAAGCUCCGAAUCAGCACCUUAUCUUACUUAUAUAGUAAGAGAGAAUGCUGGCUCUGAGUACAGAGUCCAGAGGAACCUUGAAAACUGCAUAGAGCUAGGUGAAAAAGCCAAAAAAGAAGACCGCAAG